rnacentral:rRNA from 1 species
GAUGAACGCUGGCGGCGUGCUUAACACAUGCGAGUCGAACGGGAAACCUUUUAAUGCAGCUUCGGCAGAUUUAGCUGGUUUCUAGUGGCGGACGGGUGAGUAACGCGUGGGUAACCUGCCUUAUACAGGGGGAUAACAGUCAGAAAUGACUGCUAAUACCGCAUAAGCGCACAGGACCGCAUGGUCCGGUGUGAAAAACUCCGGUGGUAUAAGAUGGACCCGCGUUGGAUUAGCUUGUUGGUGGGGUAACGGCUCACCAAGGCGACGAUCCAUAGCCGGCCUGAGAGGGUGAACGGCCACAUUGGGACUGAGACACGGCCCAGACUCCUACGGGAGGCAGCAGUGGGGAAUAUUGCACAAUGGGGGAAACCCUGAUGCAGCGACGCCGCGUGAAGGAAGAAGUAUCUCGGUAUGUAAACUUCUAUCAGCAGGGAAGAUAGUGACGGUACCUGACUAAGAAGCCCCGGCUAACUACGUG